GAUGAACGCUGGCGGCGUGCCUAAUACAUGCAAGUCGAGCGAACGGACGAGAAGCUUGCUUCUCUGAUGUUAGCGGCGGACGGGUGAGUAACACGUGGAUAACCUACCUAUAAGACUGGGAUAACUUCGGGAAACCGGAGCUAAUACCGGAUAAUAUUUUGAACCGCAUGGUUCAAAAGUGAAAGACGGUCUUGCUGUCACUUAUAGAUGGAUCCGCGCUGCAUUAGCUAGUUGGUAAGGUAACGGCUUACCAAGGCAACGAUGCAUAGCCGACCUGAGAGGGUGAUCGGCCACACUGGAACUGAGACACGGUCCAGACUCCUACGGGAGGCAGCAGUAGGGAAUCUUCCGCAAUGGGCGAAAGCCUGACGGAGCAACGCCGCGUGAGUGAUGAAGGUCCGGAUCGUAAAACUCUGUUAUUAGGGAAGAACAUAUGUGUAAGUAACUGUGCACAUCUUGACGGUACCUAAUCAGAAAGCCACGGCUAACUACGUG
rnacentral:rRNA from 1 species